rnacentral:lncRNA from 1 species
CUCAAUGACAACAGAUGCAAUGGGUGAAAGUUGAAGCUUAAGUGUGAGUUGCUUUCUCACACCAUCACUUGUGGCUGAAAACUUCUGAAGCCUCUUGGAUAACAGGAGCAUAUAUGACACCAGGAAAAAUCAUCCUAUACUGUAGCCCACGCGUGGAGCUCAGUGCUGCCACCUGGACCAGACAGCAGUGGCAGCAGAAAGCACACACGGACACUGGCACUGUGUCACCAGGUAGACCCACAGCUGUCCUCCAGCUGCGUCUGUCACCAGUACCCGGUAAUCAUAUCUGCAAAUUUCUCAGAGAUGGAUGAAAGAUAUCCAGCAUAUGCAGAGCUGAAGAAAUCUCUUCCUUACAAGAAGCACAUUCAAAUGAAUAACAAAAAAGAGGAACCAAUUUACUCAGAAGUGGAAGAAUGUCCUUCAAAUUCCAACCAAAUAAAGAAAAAAAUUGAAUCAUCUGAAGAAAAUGGGUUCUCAGUUCCCUUAGCCUGGCGCCUCACAGCUGUGGUUCUUGCUGGCUCGUGUUUCUUCCUCCUUUCAGCAACUGGAUUUUUGGGUUUCAUGGAACUUUAUUCAAAGCCAAAUAUCUUAUUUCUCUUGGAUUGGGUUGUCCCGUGAAGGAACCAGCACACCCUGGACAUGGGAGGAUAAGUCACAACCCUCUCUUGAAAGGUUCAUUUUGACUUUAAGGAAGAGUCAGAAGUUGUAUGGUGCCAGUUCUGGUGAACAAGAUAAAUGAGGGCACACCAGUGUUUUUACAAGCCUGCCCUUGCAUUGGACAGUACUCACUCUGCAGCCGCAUUCACCAUACUUUUGACCACAUCGUGAAAGAGGACUUCCAGAACUUCUACAGAAAGUGGGAAGGACAAGAACGAUGGGAUAAGUGUAAUCAAAGGAAGGGGGAACAUUUUGAGGAGGACUAAUGGCAAAGUCUCUUUUACUGUAAUAAUAUUUUAAUUUAAAAUACACCACAGGUUUUGAUCACACCUUCUAUAAACAUGUACCAUUAUCUACCAUAUCCAAUGAAUACAUACAAGUAAUGUGUGUCAUUUCAAAACUACCAUUUGAAUUUAAAACUAAAUGUUUUAAACUUCAAAAAAUAGUUUGUGAUAUGAAUCUAUAAUGACCUGCACAGUUUAAAUAAAUUUCAGGAAGACAUGCUCCACCCCACAAAUAAUGAGGAAUGUUUCAUUUGACAAAAGAUACCCCCUUUAUUGGCAAAAUGAAACAGCUUGAUAACACACAGUAAAGAUGUAGGGAACCAGACACUUGUGAGCACUGGAAAAGAUAUGACAACUGCAGUGGAAAGUAGAAAUCAAAUAUCUAUUAAACUUAAAAUACAAAACUACAAAUUACAAUCCUAGAGAUUUAUCAUACCAAUAUCGCUAUGUCCAGUAAAAGUGUACAAAGUGUUGUUACAGUAUUUUUGCACAAAUGCAAAAUUCUGGAAUAAAUCUAAAUAGUCAUUGAAAUAAAACUAGUUGAGUAAAUUUUGGUACAUAUAUUACUAGUACAGUAUAAUGCUUACAAAUGUUUACAAAAAGUGAAGCAACUCCUUAUGUACUGACAAGAAACAAUCUGUAAGACUUAAAAGUUAAAAAGCAAGAUUAUUGUUUAUACUUAUGUAAUACAUGGUUUGCCAGGUAAUGUGUAUAUUUGUACAUUCAUACAGUAUCUCUGAAAUAUUACCUGACAAUAGAUAAUAGUUGUUUGCCUAUAACAAGGAGACUAGGUGAGUAAGCAACAAAAUAGGACAGGGCAAUUUGGUUUCAUAGCUCAUUGUUUUGUUCAUUUUAUAUUUUAAACAAUAUGAAUAUUACUUAUCUAUCAUAUAAAUUUAAUUAAAUUAUUAAGAAAAUAAAUAAGAUCUUUUAACCAAUCAAAAUAAAUUUCUUCCAUGUUUUCUCAUUUAUCAAUUCUUAACAUUUCAAAAUAUACACUCACUUCUUGAAUUU